AUUAAAAGAAAUUUUAUUUAUUUACCUUUUGUAUCAGGGUUUUUUAAAAUUAUUAAUAAGUUAAUUUUCUCGAAUCUGUAAUGAACUAAUUAGUUUAUUUUUGUUGUAGUAAAUAAUUAAUUAUAUUAGUAAUGAAAUGUUUUCGUAUUCUGUGUUAUCUAGUUAUUUAAAUUAUUUAAAUUAUAAUUAAUUAUAAAUUAAUUUAAUAGAAAAGCUAAUUUUUUUAUUUAAAUAGAUAAUAUUUUAUUUUUUAUUAAUUAGAUUUAAUAUUAAUCAUAUUUUUAUAUUGUUAUAAAUAAGUAAUUAUAUAUUUACUUAUAUUAUAUUUAUUUAGAUUAUUAAAAUUAUUAAAUAAUUUUAAUAAAUAAUGAAUUAAUUAGUACUAGGUUUAUACUAUAUAUUUAACUUGUAGUUUAUUUGAUAGUUUAACAAAAACAUUUUUUUAAGAUAAUUUUAAGUAAUACCUGCCCAGUGAAUUUUAACGGCUGCAGUAUUUUAACUGUACUAAGGUAGCAUAAUCAUUUGUUUUUUAAUUGAGGACUGGCAUGAAUGGUUUUACAAAUAAUUAAUUAUAAUAUGUUUAUUUAGUAAUUUUUAUUUUGAAUAAAAAUAUUUAGAUAUAAUAAAGGGACGAUAAGACCCUAAAAGCUUUUUAUAAAUUUUAUUUUAAUUAAGUAAAAUAUAUUAAUUUAGUUGGGGUAAUGUAAAUAUAUAUUUUAUUUUAAAAAUUAACAGUAAUAUAUGGUUAUUUGAUCUUUUAUAUAAAGAAAAAUAGAAUUAGUUACUUUAGGGAUAACAGCGUAAUAAUUUUAGAAAGGUCUUAUUAAUAAAGUUGAUUACGACCUCGAUGUUGAAUUAAAAUGUCUGUAUGCUGUAGUAGGUAUAUAAGAAGGUUUGUUCAACCUUUUAUUUUUUACAUGAUUUGAGUUCAAAU
rnacentral:rRNA from 1 species